rnacentral:lncRNA from 1 species
UGAAGAGGGUGGAACACUGGUAGCUUGAGUCUUGCAUCUCAAGAACAAGAGAAAGGGAUGAUAUUCAUCUUAUUUAUGUUUCAGGCUAUACAAAUCCUGUAAGCCUGGUGCUGCUUGUGGGGUUAUCUUUUCCUUCACAUGAGAAAAGUUUUGCUGAGAAUGAAGAAACAGAGGGAAGGACAAUUCCUGUUGACAUCUCAUAAGUGCUUGAUCCAACCAUGCCUGAAAUCAGUUUCUGGUAUUAUAUGACCCAGUAAAUUAUCUCUUUUGUUUGAGUUAAACUAAAUUUGGAAUUUUGUCUCUUGCAACACAAAUGGUCAUGACUGAUUUUAGGAUCUUUAAGUUUUCUAGAUUUAUUGUUGACCUAGAGAAUUUUUUCUAAAACUCAAAACCUUUUCCCAUUACUUUGACCCAUGAAUAUUAUAGCUAAGAGAUUUUAAUAUGUGUAAUUAAAUUAUACUUUCAUAAGUUUACUACUGUAUUUUUUUCUUUUAUUUUUAUUAGAGUAUAGUUGACUUAUAGUGUUGUGUCAAUUUCUGCUUUACAGCAUAGUGGCCUAGUCAUAUAUAUAUAUAUGUGUGUGUGUGUGUGUGUGUGUGUGUGAGUAUUGUAUAUAUAUACACACAUUCUUUUUCUCUAAUUUAUAAUCUGUUUUCUCUAUUGUAUCAUUAAGAGUGAUUCUUAAAAUUCUAUACGUUAAACAUCAUUGUUUAUUUAAAGGAAACUUAUGAUAAUAAGGCUAAAAACAUUUAUGAGAUUUUUUUAGACAAUCAGAUAGUCUGCCCACUGUUUUGAAUUCCUUUAAUGUGCUCCUUCAAAUGUAGCUCCUAUUUUCAGAUAUGCAUCCAAUAUUUUGCUACUAAUUAAAAUAUAGAUAGGUGACGUCAUUACUUUCAGAGAGAAGAACAUCAUACUGCCUUGAACUCCUGGGAGGUAAACUUGCUUUUGGUAGAUGUGUAAUGCCAAACCAGUGGUUAUUUUCCCAUGAUGCUAGAGCCAGAUGGAAAUAUUUUCAAUUCUCUGUGCCACAAAAUAUUGGGGCAAUUAUGGAUGUGGGAGGUCACUCUACUCUACCUCCAAUGACUACUUGGUGGGAAGUGUUGGUUCUCAGAGUCUGAGAGUGGAAAGAGAUUUGUGUCAAAGCAGUGUUCCUUAUGGAAAAGCAAGGUUUACUGUUUUUAUACAUUUGGCUUUUUGUCAUAAAGCAAGAACUUUUCUACAGCCAAUGUAAGAAAACGUGUACCUCAAAAUCAGAUAGGUCUUAGACUAAUCCUGCUUUUAUCAUCUUCAUAAGGUACAUUUUUUUAAUUGAAAAGUGGCUCCUUAAUAAAAAUGGCUCCUUUUGCAUGAUUUCUACAUAUUUUAAUUUUCUUUCUUUCUUUUUUCUUGCUUUUUUAGGGCUGCACCCAUAGCAUAUGGAGUUCCUAGGCGAGGGGUCCAAUUGGAGCUACAGCAGCUGGCCUAUGCCACAGCCAUAGCAACAUCAGAUUUGAGCCACGUCUGCAACCUACAACACAGCUCACGGCAACGCUGGACCCUUAACCCAUUGAGCAAGGCCAGGGAUCGAACCCACCACCUCAUGGUUCCUAGUUGGGUUCAUUUCUGCAGCACCAUGAUAGGAACUCCCUACAUACUUUAAUUUUAUAAAAAAAUUAUAUCCAAUAAAAUAGAAUGUGGUCAAUAUCUUAAAUAUAAAAAUUGUUUGGUACUAACCAUAUGCCUAAAUCCUUCUACUUCAUUAGAUAAUAAUUCUUAGAUUAAAAAAUUAUUUUAAAUCAUGUAAUAAUAUAGUAUGUAUAUGCAAUGUAAGUGAAUUUCUUAUCCUUUAGGAAUAUAUAUGCUGAAAUAAAUGAUCAUGCUGAUAAGUUAUCUGUUAUUAAUAAAGAUAUCCUAUUUUUUCAAAAAUAUAAGUAAAACUGAAUAACUACAAAUUUACAUUACACUUUUCCUAAAAUACAGACCUGGCAGUGGUGAAAAAUUCUGAGAAGUUAAAUUCCCCCAGGAGUUCAUCAAUUUAGAAUAAUUGUCCUGAGCCCUAUAGCCUAUGCCUUAGGAGGACCUCAGUGGGGGAAAACAGUGGCCCCACAAGAUAGCACAAGGGAGUCCAAGGCUCCCAGCCACAAAGUUGGUCCUGAAUUCACUCUUCCUUUCCCAUCCUCAAGAAAAGUAGAUGUACAUGCCCUUCCCCUUCCACCAGGCACAUAGUAGAUAUUCCUAUUGUGACUAGUUUUCUCCUCCCAACAUGUCCACAGUUGAAAUUAACCUGAUUUGAACUUAUGAUAAAUAUACUGGAGCAGGAACAUAGAGGUCCUGCAUGGUAGCCCUGGUGUGGCCCAGGGUUUGUGUCAUAGAACGUUUUUGGAGAAUGAUACACAUGACUCAGGAUUUGGAAGGUAAAUUAUAAGAACAAAUGUUUAUUCGGGCUUACUAACUGCCAGGCACUGUUAUUAGCACUUUUCGUUUACGGAUACAUUAAAGUACCCUCACUAAGUAACAGUGUUUACAAGAUGAACACUGAUAUUCUUCCCAUUUUACAGAAGAAGAAACUGAGAGUAAAACAAAUUGCCCAACUUGACACAGCAAGUAAGUAGUUGACUAGAAAUUCAAAUGCAGGUAGUUUGGUUUCCAGAGUGUAGGCUUUUAACUACUAUGUUCUGUUUUCUCCAAUGUGGUAUUUGAUCUUCUCAUAUACUAAAGAGCUUUGAGAAGAUGAAAUGAAAAGGAGGGAAGGAAACAGAAGUUAACCCCUAAAAAUAAGACAAGUUUUCAGGGAGCAGGAAGGAUUUACUAAGAAGGACCUGAAAACAAAAAAAAAAAAAA